rnacentral:rRNA from 1 species
AUGGAUAGCUUAUUUGCUUUGUUGUAUAUACUUUGUAGUUUCAAUGAUGAUGCAUAUAUGUCAACUAUGGGUGUUGGCUCCAACAAUUCUCAUUGGUCUCAAACCAAUGAGAUGCAUUUCGAUGAUCGUGAGUUUGAGGUGGACGAGGAUGCUGAGGGCAUCGUCGAUGCACCGAAAGGAAGAGGGGGCAACUACACCAUGGACGAAGACAUCUUGCUAUGCAAUAUUUGGUUGCAAGUGUCGAGGGAUCCCGUGAUGACCCACAAGUAUAGGGGAUCAAUCGUAGUCCUUUCGACAAGUAAGAGUGUCGAACCCAAUGAGGAGCAGAAGGAAAUGACAAGUGGUUUUCAGCAAGGUAUUUUCUACAAGCACUGA